rnacentral:rRNA from 1 species
AGAGUUUGAUCCUGGCUCAGGAUGAACGCUAGCAACAGGCUUAACACAUGCAAGUCGAGGGGCAGCGGGGGCGUAGCAAUAUGCCUGCCGGCGACCGGCGCACGGGUGAGUAACACGUAUGUAACCUGCCCUAUGCAGGGGGAUAACCCGGAGAAAUCCGGCCUAAUACCGCGUAACACCUUAGGGGAGCAUUCUCUUGAGGUUAAAGGAGAGAUCCGGCAUAGGAUGGACAUGCGUCGCAUUAGGUAGACGGCGGGGUAACGGCCCACCGUGCCGACGAUGCGUAGGGGUUCUGAGAGGAAGGCCCCCCACACUGGUACUGAGACACGGACCAGACUCCUACGGGAGGCAGCAGUGAGGAAUAUUGGUCAAUGGCCGAGAGGCUGAACCAGCCAAGUCGCGUGAGGGAAGAAUGUCCUAAGGAUUGUAAACCUCUUUUGUCGGGGAGCAAAAAGGCUCUGCGGAGUCGUAUUGAGAGUACCCGAAGAAAAAGCAUCGGCUAACUCCGUGCCAGCAGCCGCGGUAAUACGGAGGAUGCGAGCGUUAUCCGGAUUUAUUGGGUUUAAAGGGUGCGCAGGCGGCGUGUCAAGCAAGCGGUAAAAUAGCGGGGCUCAACCCCGUCGAGCCGUUUGAACUGGCGCGCUUGAGUUCAGGCGAGGUAGGCGGAAUUCGUGGUGUAGCGGUGAAAUGCAUAGAUAUCACGAAGAACUCCGAUUGCGAAGGCAGCUUACCAGUCUGCGACUGACGCUCAGGCACGAAAGUGUGGGUAUCGAACAGGAUUAGAUACCCUGGUAGUCCACACAGUAAACGAUGAGCGCUAGGUGUCCGGGUCGCAUGAGACUUGGGUGCCCGAGCGAAAGCGUUAAGCGCUCCACCUGGGGAGUACGCCGGCAACGGUGAAACUCAAAGGAAUUGACGGGGGCCCGCACAAGCGGAGGAACAUGUGGUUUAAUUCGAUGAUACGCGAGGAACCUUACCCGGGCUCAAACGACUCAGGAAUAUAUUGGAAACGAUGUAGCCAGCAAUGGUCUGAGUCGAGGUGCUGCAUGGUUGUCGUCAGCUCGUGCCGUGAGGUGUCGGCUUAAGUGCCAUAACGAGCGCAACCCCUACCGCCAGUUGCCAACGGGUAAAGCCGGGAACUCUGGCGGGACUGCCGGCGCAAGCUGCGAGGAAGGCGGGGAUGACGUCAAAUCAGCACGGCCCUUACGUCCGGGGCGACACACGUGUUACAAUGGCAGGUACAGCGGGAAGCCACCUGGUGACUGGGAGCGGAACCCGAAAGCCUGUCUCAGUUCGGAUUGGAGUCUGCAACUCGACUCCAUGAAGCUGGAUUCGCUAGUAAUCGCGCAUCAGCCAUGGCGCGGUGAAUACGUUCCCGGGCCUUGCACUCACCGCCCGUCA